rnacentral:rRNA from 1 species
AACGAACGCUGGCGGCAUGCCUAACACAUGCAAGUCGAACGAGACCUUCGGGUCUAGUGGCGCAUGGGUGCGUAACGCGUGGGAACCUGCCCUUAGGUUCGGAAUAACUCCCCGACAGGGGUGCUAAUACCGGAUAAUGUCUUCGGACCAAAGAUUUAUCGCCUUUGGUUGGGCCCGCGUUGGAUUAGCUAGUUGGUAGGGUAAAAGCCUACUAAGGCGACGAUCCAUAGCUGGUCUGAGAGGAUGAUCAGCCACACUGGGACUGGGACACGGCCCAGACUCCUACGGAAGGCAGCAGUGGGGAAUAUUGGACAAUGGGCGAAGGCCUGAUCCAGCAAUGCCGCGUGAGUGAUGAAGGCCUUAGGGAUGUAAAGCUCUUUUACCCGGGAUGAUAAUGACAGUACCGGGAGAAUAAGCUCCGGCUAACUCCGUG